ACAGCUAUCCGUAAACAUAUCGAAUAGCGAAUAUAUGUCCCUACAACGUUUAACUUUUCAUAUUUGUCCCAACAGAAGUCCAGGAAUUAAUAUUCAUAUUUGCCUCAUCUGGUUUGUUACCGUUAGAACAAUGUUUAUUUUGUAACAGAAGAUAAAUGAAAUGAUAUUUUUGUCAUUAUAAAAAUGUCUCUCCAAAAAUUUCAACUGUUAGAAUUAUGCAGAAACGUCCUCCCAAAAAUUUUCAACAGUUAUCUUCUUCCUUCAUAUCAUCACAAAUAAUGGUUAAAUAUUUUAUCUAUGAUUAACUAUAUUUUUAUAACGGAUUCUAACGGUAGAGUUAUAUUUGAAAACGUUAAGACUUUUGUAGAAAUAAAUAUGAAAAGUCGAACUCAAUCUGUAGGAAUAUAUUUGUUAUUCGAUAUGUUUACAGUGAGCUAGCUAUAUGCAAUCAACCCUACAUGUAGAUAUAUAUAUAUAUC
rnacentral:lncRNA from 1 species